GCGGUCGUGGCGGAACGGUAGACGCGCUAGCUUGAGGUGCUAGUGGGGCAACCCGUGGAAGUUCGAGUCUUCUCGACCGCACCA
rnacentral:tRNA from 4 species